GUGCGAAUGCUGACAUGAGUAACGACAAAGGGGGUGAAAAACCUCCUCGCCGGAAGACCAAGGGUUCCUGUCCAACGUUAAUCGGGGCAGGGUGAGUCGACCCCUAAGGUGAGGCCGAAAGGCGUAAUCGAUGGGAAACGGGUUAAUAUUCCCGUACUUCUGACUAUUGCGAUGGGGGGACGGAGAAGGCUAGGUGGGCCAGGCGACGGUUGUCCUGGUUCAAGUGCGUAGGCUUGAGAGUUAGGUAAAUCCGGCUCUCUCUAAGGCUGAGACACGACGUCGAGCUACUACGGUAGUGAAGUCAUUGAUGCCAUGCUUCCAGGAAAAGCCUCUAAGCUUCAGAUAGUCAGGAAUCGUACCCCAAACCGACACAGGUGGUCGGGUAGAGAAUACCAAGGCGCUUGAGAGAACUCGGGUGAAGGAACUAGGCAAAAUGGUACCGUAACUUCGGGAGAAGGUACGCUCUUGAUGGUGAAGUCCCUCGCGGAUGGAGCUGACGAGAGUCGCAGAUACCAGGUGGCUGCAACUGUUUAUUAAAAACACAGCACUGUGCAAAAUCGCAAGAUGACGUAUACGGUGUGACGCCUGCCCGGUGCCGGAAGGUUAAUUGAUGGGGUUAGCGCAAGCGAAGCUCUUGAUCGAAGCCCCGGUAAACGGCGGCCGUAACUAUAACGGUCCUAAGGUAGCGAAAUUCCUUGUCGGGUAAGUUCCGACCUGCACGAAUGGCGUAAUGAUGGCCACGCUGUCUCCACCCGAGACUCAGUGAAAUUGAAAUCGCUGUGAAGAUGCAGUGUACCCGCGGCUAGACGGAAAGACCCCGUGAACCUUUACUACAGCUUGGCACUGAACAUUGAACCUACAUGUGUAGGAUAGGUGGGAGGCUAUGAAGACGUGACGCCAGUUGCGUUGGAGCCGUCCUUGAAAUACCACCCUUGUAUGUUUGAUGUUCUAACUUAGACCCAUUAUCUGGGUUGAGGACAGUGCCUGGUGGGUAGUUUGACUGGGGCGGUCUCCUCCCAAAGAGUAACGGAGGAGCACGAAGGUGGGCUAAUCACGGUUGGACAUCGUGAGGUUAGUGCAAUGGCAUAAGCCCGCUUAACUGCGAGAAUGACGGUUCGAGCAGGUGCGAAAGCAGGUCAUAGUGAUCCGGUGGUUCUGUAUGGAAGGGCCAUCGCUCAACGGAUAAAAGGUACUCCGGGGAUAACAGGCUGAUACCGCCCAAGAGUUCAUAUCGACGGCGGUGUUUGGCACCUCGAUGUCGGCUCAUCACAUCCUGGGGCUGAAGUCGGUCCCAAGGGUAUGGCUGUUCGCCAUUUAAAGUGGUACGCGAGCUGGGUUUAGAACGUCGUGAGACAGUUCGGUCCCUAUCUGCCGUGGGCGUUGGAAGAUUGAAGGGGGCUGCUCCUAGUACGAGAGGACCGGAGUGGACGAACCUCUGGUGUUCGGGUUGUGUCGCCAGACGCAUUGCCCGGUAGCUAAGUUCGGAAUUGAUAAGCGCUGAAAGCAUCUAAGCGCGAAGCGAGCCCUGAGAUGAGUCUUCCCUGACAGUUUAACUGUCCUAAAGGGUUGUUCGAGACUAGAACGUUGAUAGGCAGGGUGUGUAAGCGUUGUGAGGCGUUGAGCUAACCUGUACUAAUUGCCCGUGAGGCUUAACCAU
rnacentral:rRNA from 1 species